rnacentral:rRNA from 1 species
UAUGUGAUCGUCUCUCGCAUAUCAAUAAGCGGAGGAAAAGAAACUAACAAGGAUUCCCUUAGUAACGGCGAGUGAAGCGGGAAGAGCUCAAAUUUGAAAUCUUCAAGGUUUUACCUUGACGAAUUGUAGUUUAAAGAAGUGUUUUCUGUUGAAGUUUUGGUAAAAGUUCUUUGGAAUAGGACAUCAUAGAGGGUGAGAAUCCCGUAUUUGACCAUUAUUUUCAGCUGUGUGAUACACUUUCAAAGAGUCGGAUUGUUUGGGAAUGCAGUCCAAAAUGGGUGGUAAAUUUCAUCUAAAGCUAAAUAUUGGCGAGAGACCGAUAGCGAACAAGUACCGUGAGGGAAAGAUGAAAAGAACUUUGAAAAGAGAGUUAAACAGUACGCGAAAUUGUCAAAAGGGAAGCGUUUGACACCAGUGUUGUUUUCUCGAAAAUCAAUUAAAAAGAGUUUGAUUUUGUUGUGUAUUGACCUUAACAGCUUGCAUUUCAAUUUUCUUGCUUUUUUUAAUGCACUUUUCGUUUAACAAGUCAACAUCAGUUUCUUUUGUUGUAAAAAGGUCAUUGGAAGGUGGCUUUCUUUUCGGAGAAAGUGUUUAUAGCCUUUGACUCCUGCAAUCGGAGAGACUGAGGUCUGCAGCGUAGAUCCUUCGGGGUUAGAUACAUUUGUGCUAAGUUAUAGCUUUUUAUAGACAACUUGUUGACUAUGAUUAGUCUUGUAGCUUACUCGCUUAUGCUAUUUUACCUACGCUUAGGAUGUUGAAGAUGUAGCACAUCAU